CGGAGCGUAGCGCAGCCUGGUAGCGCACUUGCAUGGGGUGCAAGGGGUCGCGAGUUCGAAUCCCGCCGUUCCGACCA
rnacentral:tRNA from 5 species